rnacentral:rRNA from 1 species
GAUGAACGCUGGCGGCGUGCCUAAUACAUGCAAGUCGAGCGAACAGAUGAGGAGCUUGCUCCUCUGACGUUAGCGGCGGACGGGUGAGUAACACGUGGAUAACCUACCUAUAAGACUGGGAUAACUUCGGGAAACCGGAGCUAAUACCGGAUAAUAUAUUGAACCGCAUGGUUCAAUAGUGAAAGACGGUUUUGCUGUCACUUAUAGAUGGAUCCGCGCCGCAUUAGCUAGUUGGUAAGGUAACGGCUUACCAAGGCAACGAUGCGUAGCCGACCUGAGAGGGUGAUCGGUCACACUGGAACUGAGACACGGUCCAGACUCCUAAGGGAGGCAGCAGUAGGGAAACUUCCGCAAUGGGGCAAAGCCUGAAGGAGCAAAGGCGCGUGAGUGAUGAAAGUUUUCGGAUCGUAAAACUCUGUUAUUAGGGAAGAACAAAAGUGUAAGUAACUAUGCACGUCUUGACGGUAACUAAUCAGAAAGCCACGGCUAAAUAAGUG